rnacentral:rRNA from 1 species
UACAGAGGUCUCAAGCGUUGUUCGGAAUCACUGGGCGUAAAGGGUGCGUAGGCGGCGGAGAAAGUCGGGUGUGAAAUUUGCGGGCUCAACCCGUAAGUUGCACUUGAUACUACUUUGCUAGAGAUCUGGAGAGGAGCUUGGAAUUCUCGGUGUAGCAGUGAAAUGCGUAGAUUUCGAGAGGAACGCUCGCAAGCGAAAGCGAAGCUCUGGCCAGAUUCUGACGCUGAGGCACGAAGGCUAGGGGAGCGAACGGG